UUAUGAACUAUAAACAUAUCUUAACAUUUUUUGAUGAAUCUCUGAAAAUCUUGGUUUAUUUGGCUUUAUUUGAGAUCGAUGAAUGGAUGAAAUGUUUUUGCCCAAUAUUUAACUUGUGUGAUAUCUGAUGAGAUUGGUUUAAUGUAUUCGUAUAUGCCAGACUAAGUUCAUCUCUGAAUAAGUGCUUGUUCACUAAAUUUGUAGUCUUUGUUAUAGAUAUGGAAACAUCUAGCGGCAAUGCAAUCGUUGUGCCAGAUUCUCCAAGUGAUUCAUCCAUUUCACCAGACAAGAAGCGGAAGAAGUUGGUUCUACAUCACCAUUCACGAUUACUUAAGAUAGAUUGCAUAUCCCAGCCUGGAAUGUCGUAUAUAUCACGGUAGAGAGCCUUUUUUGGUGCAUUGGAUCGUGAGUUGCAACUAUAUCAGACAAAUGAUCUCGGCUAUAUUGACAUGUUUAUUUUCCCUGUUUUCCCCGAUGAUCAGCUUUAUAUUGUCUGUUUUGACCUGCGGAAAGAGUUGAUUUUCGUAAUAGACUCUUCUAUUUAGGUUAACAAACAUCCGGUUAGCUCCAACUACAGCAUUUUGUGUGAUAUCCUGAGAUCACUACUGUCGAAGUUUCUAAACAGCAACAGGGAAGAUCUGAGUUCGACAUCAGUUGCAAAAUCAACUAUAGAGGUUGUGGACCUGAAAUGGGCGGACAAUAUGAAUACAAUAGAUGCUGCGUUGUAUGUCAUGAGGCAUAUGGAGACGUUCGGCGGAGAUACAUCUGUGAAUUGAAAUACUAGAUUACUAAAUGCAACUCACCACCACCUAGGGAUAUUGAGGAUGAGAUACUGUGCACCGAUAGUUUCGUGGGAACAUAACAAGUACAAGGAUGAUGUUUUGAGAGACUCGGCUGCAACGUAUAGGGCUGUUAUAGCUGUGAAUUCUACAUGAUUUAAUAGAGUUCUUGCAGGGUGAUAUCAGAUAUACCUCGGAGUAUUUUUUGAGAUCUGUUAUUUACUUUAGACAUUGAGUGUUAGACAUUUGUGAGCAAGAUUUAAUUAUGAUUUUGGUUAGACAUU